GAUGAACGCUAGCUACAGGCUUAACACAUGCAAGUCGAGGGGAAACGACAUCGAAAGCUUGCUUUUGAUGGGCGUCGACCGGCGCACGGGUGAGUAACGCGUAUCCAACCUGCCCAUCACUUGGGAAUAACCUUGCGAAAGUAAGACUAAUACCCAAUGACAUCCCACGAAGACAUCUGAAUGGGAUUAAAGAUUUAUCGGUGAUGGAUGGGGAUGCGUUUGAUUAGCUUGUUGGCGGGGUAACGGCCCACCAAGGCAACGAUCAGUAGGGGUUCUGAGAGGAAGGUCCCCCACAUUGGAACUGAGACACGGUCCAAACUCCUACGGGAGGCAGCAGUGAGGAAUAUUGGUCAAUGGGCGAGAGCCUGAACCAGCCAAGUAGCGUGCAGGAUGACGGCCCUAUGGGUUGUAAACUGCUUUUAUAAGGGAAUAAAGUGGGUCUCGUGAGACUUUUUGCAUGUACCUUAUGAAUAAGGACCGGCUAAUUCCGU
rnacentral:rRNA from 1 species